rnacentral:rRNA from 1 species
AUGCCCUGCGGCACCGGGGCGUUGAUGCAAAUCAUCUGGGGGAGACGGCGAGGUCUGGCGCUCGACCUCCCGACCAAACCGAGCUCCGCCUCGCCGAGCAGGCCGGGGAGCGGGCGUGCUGGAGCUCUGCCUCCUCGGAGCGGGAUGGGGCACGACACGCAGGCGCUCGGUCUCGCCGGAGCGGUCAGGUACGCGGGGUCGCUGGAGCUCGGCCUCGCCGGAUUAGGCGGCGUCGGCGUCGGCUAG